rnacentral:rRNA from 1 species
CCUACGGGGGGCAGCAGUAGGGAAUUUUCCGCAAUGGGCGAAAGCCUGACGGAGCAAUACCGCGUGAGGGAUGAAUGCCUAUGGGUUGUAAACCUCUUUUUUCAGGGAGGAACACAAUGACGUGUACCUGAAGAAUAAGCAUCGGCUAACUCCGUGCCAGCAGCCGCGGUAAGACGGAGGAUGCAAGUGUUAUCCGGAAUCACUGGGCGUAAAGCGUCUGUAGGUGGUUUAAUAAGUCAACUGUUAAAUCUUGAGGCUCAACCUCAAAAUCGCAGUCGAAACUAUUAGACUAGAGUAUAGUAGGGGUAAAGGGAAUUUCCAGUGGAGCGGUGAAAUGCGUAGAUAUUGGAAAGAACACCGAUGGCGAAGGCACUUUACUGGGCUAUUACUGACACUCAGAGACGAAAGCUAGGGUAGCAAAUGGGAUUAGAUACCCUAGUAGUC